UGCUUCUCUGAUGUUAGCGGCGGACGGGUGAGUAACACGUGGAUAACCUACCUAUAAGACUGGGAUAACUUCGGGAAACCGGAGCUAAUACCGGAUAAUAUUUUGAACCGCAUGGUUCAAAAGUAAAAGACGGUCUUGCUGUCACUUAUAGAUGGAUCCGCGCUGCAUUAGCUAGUUGGUAAGGUAACGGCUUACCAAGGCAACGAUGCAUAGCCGACCUGAGAGGGUGAUCGGCCACACUGGAACUGAGACACGGUCCAGACUCCUACGGGAGGCAGCAGUAGGGAAUCUUCCGCAAUGGGCGAAAGCCUGACGGAGCAACGCCGCGUGAGUGAUCGAAGGUCUUCGGAUCGUAAAACUCUGUUAUUAGGGAAGAACAUAUGUGUAAGUAACUGUGCACAUCUUGACGGUACCUAAUCAGAAAGCCACGGCUAACUACGUGCCAGCAGCCGCGGUAAUACGUAGGUGGCAAGCGUUAUCCGGAAUUAUUGGGCGUAUAAGCGCGCGUAGGCGGUUUUUUAAGUCUGAUGUGAAAGCCCACGGCUCAACCGUGGAGGGUCAUUGGAAACUGGAAAACUUGAGUGCAGAAGAGGAAAGUGGAAUUCCAUGUGUNAGUCGGUGUAAAUGUCGCAGAGAUAUGGAGGAACACCAGUGGCGAAGGCGACUUUCUGGUCUGUUAACUGUACGCUGAUGUGCGAUAAGCGUGGGGAUCAAACAGGAUUAGAUAUCCCUGGUAGUCCACUCCGUAAACGAUGAGUGCUAAGUGUUAGGGGGUUUCCUGCCCCUUAGUGUCUGCAGCUA
rnacentral:rRNA from 1 species